CAUAUCAAUAAGCGGAGGAAAAGAAACCAACAGGGAUUGCCCUAGUAACGGCGAGUGAAGCGGCAACAGCUCAAAUUUGAAAUCUGGCUCUCGGGCCCGAGUUGUAAUUUGUAGAGGAUGACUUUGAUGCGGUGCCUUCCGAGUUCCCUGGAACGGGACGCCAUAGAGGGUGAGAGCCCCGUCUGGUUGGAUGCCAAAUCUCUGUAAGUCUCCUUCGACGAGUCGAGUAGUUUGGGAAUGCUGCUCUAAAUGGGAGGUAUAUGUCUUCUAAAGCUAAAUACCGGCCAGAGACCGAUAGCGCACAAGUAGAGUGAUCGAAAGAUGAAAAGCACUUUGAAAAGAGAGUUAAAAAGUACGUGAAAUUGUUGAAAGGGAAGCGUUUAUGACCAGACUUGGGCUUGGUUAAUCAUCUGGGGUUCUCCCCAGUGCACUUUUCCAGUUCAGGCCAGCAUCAGUUUUCGCCGGGGGAUAAAGACUUCGGGAAUGUGGCUCCUCUCGGGGAGUGUUAUAGCCCGUUGUGUAAUACCCUGGUGGGGACUGAGGUUCGCGCUUCUGCAAGGAUGCUGGCGUAAUGGUCAUCAACGACCCGUCUUGAAACACGGACC
rnacentral:rRNA from 1 species